GGCACAUUACCGCUUGAGCCACAUCCCCAGCCCUAGCCUACUUUUUUGGCUAACGUUUUCUUCCAUAAAAUAGUGUUGCUAGUAAUGGACUUAAAAAAAAGUCCGUAUUUGGAAAAAUAAAAAUUUGCUAACCCUAUUUGAGUUUCUACAUCUAAAAUUUAGUGUGAUUCCUCCGUUGUGAGAGUUCUGCUUCCUUUAUGUUUCAAAAAUAAAUUCUGUUACUUUAUUCUAAAAAGAAAAAAAGAUAUUGGUUAUGAAAACCAAAAUCUAGAAAUUGUGAUGUUAAAUCUUAACUCAUAAUCUAUUUAUGCAUGCUGACUUUUUUUUUUUUCAGUUUUUUUAAGAGAUCAAGACCUGACAACUACAAAGCUCUUACCUAACCAUAUAAUACAGAUGAACAGCUCUCUUUGUGGAAAUGGUUUUUGGACCUAUAGAGUUGUAAUUUGAUAUUAUAGACUCAAUGGAAUUGGUUACCACCUCAUUUUUGUGAGGGUAUGUUUGAGAGCUCUGUAAUAAAGACUUAUAUUUGAAGUGAAAGUAGGAUUUUAGAUUUCAGAUGCUUUGCGCACAGUUCCAUUGUUUUUUCCUGCAAAUUUUUUCUUUCUCCAGUAUUUACAUUCUCUUACAAGGAGAGAAUACCUAAUUAAUUGUAGCUUCUGACUGCUUCCAAACAAGUGUAGCAGCAAAUCUCCAUUUAAUAAGAAGGAUUACUUGAGGAGAGGCCAACAGGAGUGGGCUGCAAUGAAGCUAGGAAGCUGCAGGCAUUCACCUAUGUAAUGCGCUCCUUGGGUAUUUGAAAUUACUUAAGAAUAUGGGACUGCCUGCUUUAAUUUUGUAACCUUUGAUUGUUUGCUCUUGGUGAAUUUAGUGUCUUUGUGAACAGUAUGACAAGUUCAGUGAAGCGCUAAGUUUAAAGAUUUUAGGCCUAAUCUCUAAAACUCAAUUCAGCAUAUUUUAGGCUUUGCUUUUCUUUAUAGUCCCCUCAUUCUGCCUCUGUUUAGUUUCAUACCUGAAAUUCAGAUUUGAUGUGAAAAUCAUUACUAGAGGUACUUCCUUAAUACCACAUAACAAAGCAAA
rnacentral:lncRNA from 1 species